GAGAGGAGGAGCGCAAUGAUGCGUAGCAGCAUUCUUUGAAUGCGCUCCGACGACAUGCCCCGGCCCAGUGGGGCGGGGCGAUACCUUGA
rnacentral:sRNA from 12 species